rnacentral:lncRNA from 1 species
CUAUGUAUAGUAGAACAGAUUUUGACCUACAAAAGCCAAGUUUUUUACAUGAAAAAAUCGAAAAUUGCCCAAAAUUUUGACUUUUUUUUGGAGUAGGUUAUUGAAACUUUCCAGAUUAUUAUAGUUAACGGUUUCCUUACUGGCAGUUUUUGAAUCAACUUUCUAUGUAUAUUAGAUCAGAUUUUGACCCCCAAAAGCCAAUUUUUUUACAUGAAAAAAUCGAAAAAUGCCCAAAAUUUUGACUUUUUUUCGGAGUAGGUUAUUGAAACUUUCCAGAUUAUUAUAAUUAAUCAUUUCCUUACUGGUAGUGUUUAAAUCAACUUUCUAUGUAUAGUAGAACAGAUUUUGACCGUAGCCGAUCGAUAGUUCUAGCCUGAACACUUAUCCCCGCUUCCAUCGAUAUCUCACAACAGAAGCCGAAAUCAUGCGCGGCGACGACCGCUUCGCCACAGAAUAAACGAUCGUUUAUUCAGUGGCUUCGCGAUGGCUUUCGCGCUGGAGCACAUGUUUUACGUUGAUUCGAAAUAAUAUUUUACUGCAGUUGUUAUUGUAGUUUAUAGUAAGAUUACGCUUUUAAACUACCAAACUAUUUUGAUACUCGCUUUGAGUUUUAAAAAGAAUAAAAAUUCGGUAUUUAAAUUAGAAUAAUGCCUACCUCUUGCUGCAUUCCUGGGUGCAAAAGCAAUUAUAAAAAUACCGAGAGAGUUACCAUUUUUCGUUUUCCCAAUGACCCGGCUCAAAAGAAAAGAUGGUUAGAAUACAUUGAAAGAGACGACGUAGUGAUAAAAGAAUCAUCAAGGAUCUGCAUAAAACAUUUUUCUGAACGUUUCAUUAUUCGUGAGGAUAUAGUGGCUAGGGAGGAUGGAACAAUUUUAAAGGUUUCUCGAAAAAGAGUAAAGCUGUCAGAAGAUGCCUGCCCUACAAUAUUUGAGAAUCAGCCAUUCACAACCCAUACCUCUACAAAAAAAAAGGUUAGACGGGGUAGACGAAUUUGAAACAUUUAUCAUAUACCUAAAAAUACGUAAUAAUAAAAAAAAUUUAUUAUCUUGUAAAAUGUAAAAUAUUAGGUCUCGCGGUAUCUCCACUUAGUCGUUCCACUGUGCGGCGUGCGUCACCAAAUCUCGGCUUCAAUUUUGACGCCACGAAACCAGUGUCACGGCUAGAACUAUCGAUCGGCUACGUUUUGACCCCCAAUUGGUAGUUUUUAAAUCA